UGAGAAGAAGAUGAAGAAAA
rnacentral:miRNA from 1 species